rnacentral:rRNA from 1 species
CCAGCAGUCGCGGUAAGACGUGUAAGACAAGUGUUAUUCAUAUUUACUAGGUAUAUUGGGUACUCAGACAGUUAAUUAAGCCGAUGAGGUACUAAUUAUACUAGAGUUUUAUGGGAAAAGGUUAGAACGGUGAGUGUAGUGAUAAAAUACGUUGAUACCACUUAGAGACUGACAACGGCGAAGGCGACCUUUUAUGUAAAAACUGACGUUAAAGUACGAAGGCUCAAGCAAAGGAUAAGGAUUAGAUACCCUAGUACUGUGGGCAGUAAAUGAUGAGUGUCAUAGGUAAGUAUAAAUAUAACUUAUAAAAAAGUUGUAUGACUAUUUGCGUAUAAAUGAAAGUGUAAGCACUCCACCUUAAGAGUAACAUGGCAACAUGGGAACUGAAAUCAUUAGACCGUUUCUGAAACCAGUAGUGAAGUAUGUUGUUUAAUUUGAUAAUCCACAAAGAACCUUACCACAAUUUGUAUGUUUUUUUCAAAAAAAAAUCACAGGAGUUGCACGGCUGUCUUCAGUUGAUAUCGUGAGAUCUUGGUUUACUCCAUUGAAUCAACGAAAACCCUUACUUUAUUUUAUUCAUAAAGCAGCUCUCCCCAAAGGAUAUGAUAAUAGGG